AUACACUCACCUCCACCCUGGGCCAGACACUGUCCUUCCCAAGGCAAAGGUCUCCAGGGUGCUUUAUAUAGCUGAUCCCUCCCUGGGAAGCACUAAUUUCUUAGUCUCUCCUGAUGUGGGCAGACCCUACAGCCAGGGCCUCACGCUCAGGGAGAUGCUGGUGACCUGGAUCCUGCCGAUGGUUUUCUGGCUCUGGGUAUCCAUCAAUGCCUCAUCCACGGCCAUUACCACAUCUGUAUCAUUGGGGACGACAACAACAGAUUACACAAAUAUUUCUGCUAACAGCACAGUCCCUAAAACUUCCACCACGACUUCCGGUUCAUCUGAAUCUUCAGUCUCUUCUGCAAGUUCUCUCACCACUUCUGGUUGGUCUGAAUCCUCACUCUCCUUUGUGGGUUCGCACACCACAAACCUUGGGACCCUUACUACCACACCUGGUCAGUCUAAAUCCACAGUGUCUUCUGAGGGUGCCAAAACAACAAUCCAACUGAGCUACACCACAACAUUUGAUCAAUUGGAAUCCACAACCUCUUCGGAAAAUUUCCAUAUCACAUCUGGUCAGCUUAAAUCCACAGUCUCUUCUGAUGGUUCACUCACCACAGUCCUUGAAAUUUCACCCAAUACUUCUGGUCAGUCUGAACCCACACUCUCUUCUGAGGGUUCCCACACCACAGUCCAUGGGAGUUCUAUCACCUCAUCUGGUCAGUCUGAAUCCAUAGUCUCUUCUGGAGGUUCACAUACCACAUCUAGUCAGUCUGAACCCACACUCUCUUCUGAGGGUUCCCACACCACAGUCCAUGGGAGUUCCAUCACCUCUUCUGGUCAGUCUGAAUCCAUAGUCUCUUCUGGAGGUUCACAUACCACAUCUGGUCAGUCUGAACCCACACUCUCUUCUGAGGGUUCCCACACCACAGUCCAUGGGAGUUCCAUCACCUCAUCUGGUCAGUCUGAAUCCAUAGUCUCUCCUGGGGGUUCCCACACCACAUCUGUUCAGUCUGAAUCCACAGUCUCUUCUGAGGGUUCCCUCACGAGAGUCACUGGAAGCUCAACUACCACAUCAGUUGUGUCAGAAUCCACAGUGUCUUCUGAGACUUCCCACACCACAUCUGGUCAGACUGAAUCCACAGUCUCUUCUGAGGAUUCCCCCACCACAGCCCCUGGGAGCUUCACCACCACAUCUGGUCUGUCAGAAUCCACAGAGUCUUCCGAGGGUUCCCAAACAACAGUCUUACUGAGCUCUACCACCACAUUUGAUCAACCUGAAUCCACAGUCCCUUCUGAGAGCUCGCACACUACAUCGGGAAACUCUGAAUCCACAGUCUCUACUGAACAGUCCCCCGCCGCAGGGCCUGGGAGCUCCACCACCACAUCAGUUCUGUCAGAAUCCACAGUGUCUUAUGAGAGUUCCCACACCACAUCUGAUCGGUCUGAACUCACAGUCUCUUCGGAGGCUUCUCCCACCACAGUCCCUGGGACUUUUAUCACCACCUCUGGUCAGUCUGAACCCACGGGCUCUUCUGAGGCUUCUUCCACCACAGUUUCUGGCAGCUCCACCACCACAUCAGUUCUGUCAGAAUCCACGGUGUCUCCUGAGAGUUCCCACACCACAUCUGAUCAGUCUGAAUCGACAGUCUCUUCUGAGGGUUCCCCUACCACAGGUCCUGGGAGCUUCACCACCUCAUCAGUUCUGUCAGAACACACAUAUUCUCCUGAGAGUUCCCACACCACAUCUGAUCAGUCUGAACCCAUAGUCUCUUCAGAGACUUCUCCCACCACAGUUUCUGGCAGCUCCACCACCACAUCAGUUCUGUCAGAAUCCACGGUGUCUCCUGAGAGUUCCCACACCACAUCUGAUCAGUUUGAACCCACAGUCUCUUCAGAGACUUCUCCCACCACAGUUUCUGGAAGCUCCACUACCAUAUCAGUUCUGUCUGAAUCCACAGUCUCUUCUGAGGAUUCUCCAACCACAGUCCCUGAGAGCUUCAGCACUUCAUCAGUUCUGUCAGAACACACAUUGUCUCCUGAGAGUUCCCACACCACAUCUGGUCAGUCUGAAUCCGCAGUCUCUUCUGAGGCUUCUCCCACCACAGUUUCUGGCAGCUCCACCUCCAUAUCAGUUCUGUCAGAAUCCACAGUGUCUUCUGAGAGUUCCCACACCACAUCUCAUCAGUCUGAAUCCACAGUCUCUUCUGAGGCUUCUCCCACCACAGUUUCUGGCAGCUCCACUACCGUAUCAGUUCUGUCAGAAUCCACAGUCUCUUCUGAGGCUUCUCCCACCACAGGUUCUGGAAGCUCCACCACCGUAUCAGUUCUGUCAGAAUCCACAGUGUCUUCUGAGAGUUCACACACCACAUCUGAUCAGUCUGAAUCCACAGUCUCUUCAGAGACUUCUCCCACCACAGUUUCUGGCAGCUCCACCACCAUAUCAGUUCUGUCGGAAUCCACAGUCUCUUCUGAGGUUUCUCCCACCACAGUUUCUGGAAGCUCCACUACCAUAUCAGUUCUGUCUGAAUCCACAAUCUCUUCUGAGGAUUCUCCAACCACAGUCCCUGAGAGCUUCAGCACUUCAUCAGUUCUGUCAGAAGACACAUUGUCUCCUGAGAGUUCCCACACCACAUCUGGUCAGUCUGAAUCCACAGUCUCUUCUGAGGCUUCUCCCACCACAGUUUCUGGCAGCUCCACCUCCAUAUCAGUUCUGUCAGAAUCCACAGUGUCUUCUGAGAGUUCCCACACCACAUCUCAUCAGUCUGAAUCCACAGUCUCUUCUGAGGCUUCUCCCACCACAGUUUCUGGCAGCUCCACUACCGUAUCAGUUCUGUCAGAAUCCACAGUCUCUUCUGAGGCUUCUCCCACCACAGGUUCUGGAAGCUCCACCACCGUAUCAGUUCUGUCAGAAUCCACAGUGUCUUCUGAGAGUUCACACACCACAUCUGAUCAGUCUGAAUCCACAGUCUCUUCAGAGACUUCUCCCACCACAGUUUCUGGCAGUUCCACCACCAUAUCAGUUCUGUCGGAAUCCACAGUCUCUUCUGAGGUUUCUCCCACCACAGUUUCUGGAAGCUCCACUACCAUAUCAGUUCUGUCUGAAUCCACAAUCUCUUCUGAGGAUUCUCCAACCACAGUCCCUGAGAGCUUCAGCACUUCAUCAGUUCUGUCAGAACACACAUUGUCUCCUGAGAGUUCCCACACCACAUCUGGUCAGUCUGAAUCCACAGUCUCUUCUGAGGCUUCUCCCACCACAGUUUCUGGCAGCUCCACCUCCAUAUCAGUUCUGUCAGAAUCCACAGUCUCUUCUGAGGCUUCUCCCACCACAGUUUCUGGCAGCUCCACCACCAUAUCAGUUCUGUCAGAAUCCACAGUCUCUUCUGAGGCUUCUCCCACCACAGGUUCUGGAAGCUCCACUACCGUAUCAGUUCUGUCAGAAUCCACAGUGUCUUCUGAGAGUUCCCACACCACAUCAGAUCAGUCUAAAUCCACAGUCUCUUCUGAGGCUUCUCCCACCACAGUUUCUGGCAGCUCCACCACCAUAUCAGUUCUGUCAGAAUCCACAGUGUCUUCGGAGAGUUCCCAAACCACAUCUCAUCAGUCUGAAUCCACAGUCUCUUCUGAGGCUUCUCCCAUCACAGUUUCUGGCAGCUCCACCUCCAUAUCAGUUCUGUCAGAAUCCACAGUGUCUUCUGAGAGUUCCCACACCACAUCUCAUCAGUCUGAAUCCACAGUCUCUUCUGAGGCUUCUCCCACCACAGUUUCUGGCAGCUCCACUACCGUAUCAGUUCUGUCAGAAUCCACAGUGUCUUCUGAGAGUUCCCACACCACAUCUGAUCAGUCUGAAUCCACAGUCUCUUCUGAGGAUUCUCCAACCACAGUUUCUGGCAGCUCCACCUCCAUAUCAGUUCUGUCAGAAUCCACAGUGUCUUCUGAGAGUUCCCACACCACAUCUGAUCAGUCUGAAUCCACAAUCUCUUCUGAGGUUUCCCCUACCACAGGUCCUGGGAGCUUCACCACCUCAUCAGUUCUGUCAGAACACACAUAUUCUCCUGAGAGUUCCCACACCACAUCUGAUCAGUCUGAACCCACAGUCUCUUCAGAGACUUCUCCCACCACAGUUUCUGGCAGCUCCACCACCAUAUCAGUUCUGUCAGAAUCCACGGUGUCUGCUGAGAGUUCUCCAACCACAGUCCCUGGGAGCCUCAGCACUUCAUCAGUUCUGUCAGAACACACAUUGUCUCCUGAGAGUUCCCACACCACAUCUGGUCAGUCUGAAUCCACAGUCUCUUCUGAGGCUUUUCCCACCACAGGUUCUGGAAGCUCCACCUCCAUAUCAGUUCUGUCAGAAUCCACAGUGUCUUCUGAGAGUUCCCACACCACAUCUGAUCAGUCUGAAUCCACAGUCUCUUCUGAGGAUUCUCCAACCACAGUUUCUGGCAGCUCCACCUCCAUAUCAGUUCUGUCAGAAUCCACAGUGUCUUCUGAGAGUUCCCACACCACAUCUGAUCAGUCUGAAUCCACAAUCUCUUCUGAGGUUUCCCCUACCACAGGUCCUGGGAGCUUCACCACCUCAUCAGUUCUGUCAGAACACACUUUGUCUCCUGAGAGUUCCCACACCACGUCUGAUCAGUCUGAACCCACACUCUCUUUGGAGAACUCUCCCACCACAGUUUCUGGCAGCACCACCACCACAUCAGUUCUGUCAGAAUCCACGGUGUCUCCUGAGAGUUCCCACACCACAUCUGAUCAGUCUGAACCCACAGUCUCUUCAGAGACUUCUCCCACCACAGUUUCUGGCAGCUCCACCACCAUAUCAGUUCUGUCAGAAUCCAUAGUCUCUUCUGAGGCUUCUCCCACCACAGGUUCUGGAAGCUCCACUACCGUAUCAGUUCUGCCUGAAUCCACAGUCUCUUCUGAGGUUUCUCCCACCACAGUUUCUGGAAGCUCCACUACCAUAUCAGUUCUGUCUGAAUCCACAGUCUCUUCUGAGGAUUCUCCAACCACAGUCCCUGAGAGCUUCAGCACUUCAUCAGUUCUGUCAGAACACACAUUGUCUCCUGAGAGUUCCCACACCACAUCUGGUCAGUCUGAAUCCGCAGUCUCUUCUGAGGCUUCUCCCACCACAGUUUCUGGCAGCUCCACCUCCAUAUCAGUUCUGUCAGAAUCCAUAGUGUCUUCUGAGAGUUCCCACACCACAUCUGAUCAGUCUGAAUCCACAGUCUCUUCUGAGGCUUCUCCCACCACAGUUUCUGGCAGCUCCACUACCGUGUCAGUUCUGUCAGAAUCCACAGUCUCUUCUGAGGCUUCUCCCACCACAGGUUCUGGAAGCUCCACCACCGUAUCAGUUCUGUCAGAAUCCACAGUGUCUUCUGAGAGUUCACACACCACAUCUGAUCAGUCUGAAUCCACAGUCUCUUCAGAGACUUCUCCCACCACAGUUUCUGGCAGCUCCACUACCGUAUCAGUUCUGUCGGAAUCCACAGUCUCUUCUGAGGCUUCUCCCACCACAGGUUCUGGAAGCUCCACUACCGUAUCAGUUCUGCCUGAAUCCACAGUCUCUUCUGAGGUUUCUCCCACCACAGUUUCUGGAAGCUCCACUACCAUAUCAGUUCUGUCUGAAUCCACAAUCUCUUCUGAGGAUUCUCCAACCACAGUCCCUGAGAGCUUCAGCACUUCAUCAGUUCUGUCAGAACACACAUUGUCUCCUGAGAGUUCCCACACCACAUCUGGUCAGUCUGAAUCCACAGUCUCUUCUGAGGCUUCUCCCACCACAGGUUCUGGAAGCUCCACUACCGUAUCAGUUCUGUCAGAAUCCACAGUGUCUUCUGAGAGUUCCCACACCACAUCUCAUCAGUCUGAAUCCACAGUCUCUUCUGAGGCUUCUCCCACCACUGUUUCUGGCAGCUCCACCACCAUAUCAGUUCUGUCAGAAUCCACAGUCUCUUCUGAGAGUUACAACACCACAUCUGAUCAGUCUGAAUCCACAAUCUCUUCUGAGGGUUCCCCUACCACAGGCCCUGGGAGCUUCACCACCUCAUCAGUUCUGUCAGAACACACUUUGUCCUCUGAGAGUUCCCACACCACGUCUGAUCAGUCUGAACCCACACUCUCUUUGGAGACUUCUCCCACCACAGGUUCUGGCAGCUCCACCACCACAUCAGUUCUGUCAGAAUCCACGGUGUCUCCUGAGAGUUCCCACACCACUUCUGAUCAGUCUGAACCCACAGUCUCUUCUGAGGCUUCUCCCACCACAGUUUCUGGAAGCUCCACUACCGUAUCCGUUCUGUCUGAAUCCACAGUCUAUUCUGAGGAUUUUCCCACCACAGUCCCUGGGAGCUUCACCACUUCAUCAGAUCUGUCAGAAUACACAUUUUCUCCUGAGAGUUCCCACACCACAUCUGAUCAGUCUGAAUCCACAGUCUCUUCGGAGGUUUCCCCCAGCUCCGUCCCUGGGAGCUUCUCCACCACAUCAGGUCUGUCAGAAUCCACAGUGUCUUCUGAGGGUUCCAAAACAACCGUCCUACUGAGCUCAACCACCACAUUUGUUCUGUCUGGAUCCGCAGUCUCUUCUAAGGCUUCUCCGACUACAGUCCCUGGAAGUUUUAUCACCACAUCUGAUCAUUAUGAACCCACAGUCUCUUUUGAGAGUUCCCAUACCACAUCUGGUCAGUCUGAAUCCACAGUCUCUUCUGAGGCUUCUCCGACCACUGUCCCUGGAAGUUUUAUCACCACAUCUGAUCAGUCUGAUUCCACAGUCUCUUCUGAGGGAUCUCCCACCACAGUCACUGGGAGCUUUAUCACCACAUCUGGUCAGUCUCAAUCCUCAGUUUCUUCUGAGCAUUCCCCCAUCACAGUCCCUGGAAGCUCCACUUCCACAACAAUUCUAUCAGAAUCCACUGUCUCUUCUGCCAGUUCCCAUACCACAUCUGUUCAGUCUGGAUCCACAGUCUCUUCUGACGCUUCUCCCACCACAGUUCCUGGAAGCACCAUCACCACAUCAGGUGUGUCAGAAUCCACAGUGUCUUCUGAGGGUUCCCUAACCACCCUCCUACUGAGUUCCACCACCACAUUUCAUGAAUCUGAAUCCACAGUCUCUUCUGAGAGUUUCCACACCUCACCAAGUCAGUCUGAAUCCACAGUCUCUGAGGGUUCCCCCACCACAGUUUCUGGAAACUUUGUCACCACAUCUGGGCAGUUUGAACCCACAGUGUCUUCUCAGGGUGCCCAUCCCACAGCCCCUGGGAGCUCCACUUUUACUUCUGUUCAGUCUGAAUCUACAGUUUCUUCUGAGGGUUCCCUCAUCACAAUUCCUUUGAGCUCUGUCAGCGCAUCUGGUCAGUCUGAAUCCACAGUCUCUUCUGAGGGUUCUCACACAACAUCUGGUCAGUCUGAAUCCACAAUCUCUUCUGAAGGCUCCCACACUGCAGUCCUUGGGAGCUCCACCACUACUUCUGGUCAGUCUGAGUCUACUGAAUCUUCUGAGGGUUCCCUCACCACAGUCUCUUGGAAUUCUACCACCACGUCUGGUUGGUCUGAAUCCAUCGUCUCUUCAGAGAGUUCCCACACCACAUCUGGUCAUUCUGAAUCCACAGUCUCUUCUGAAGGUUCCCUCACCACAGUCCUUGGGAGUUCCCCCGCUCCUUCUGUUCAGUCAGAAUCCGCAGUCUCUUCUGAGGGUUCCCACACUACAGUUCCUGGGAACUUUAUCACCACAUCUUCUCAGUCUGAAUCCACAAUCUCUCUGGAUGGUUCCCAUGCCACAGUUUCCAUGCCCUACCCAACCACUUCUGGUCUGUCCAAAUCCACAGUCUCCUCUGAGGAUUCCCACACCACAGUCCCUGGAAGCUCCACCACUUUAUCUGGUGGGUCUGACUUCACAGUGUCUUCUGAGGCUUCCCUCACCACAGUCCUUUGGAGUUCCCCCACUACUUCUGGUGGACCUGAAUCUACAGUCUCUUCUGAGAGUUCCUAUACUGCAGUCCCUGGGAACACCAUCACCACAUCUGAUCAGUCUGAAUCCACAGAAUCUUCUGAGGGUUCCUACAUGACAUCUGGUCAGUCUGAAUCCUCAGUGUCUUCUGCAGGUUCCCACACCACGGGACCUGGGAGCUCUACCACUACUGGUCUGUCUGAAUCCACAGUGUCUUCUGAUGGUUCCCAUACCACAAUUCCCUUAUCCUCCCCAACCACUUCUGGUCUGUCUGAAUUCACCAUGUCUCCUGAGGGUUCCCUCACCACACGCCCUGGGAGUUUUGCCACUACUUCUGGGUGGUCUGCAUCUAGUGUUUCUUCUGAGAGUUCCCACACAGGAGUUGCUGAGAGCUCUACAGCCCCAUCUAGCACUGGAGAGAUAUCUUCCAGCUCAUCUGGUUCAGUACAGUCUACCACUUCUGUCACUCAGAAAUCCACAGAUCACAACACAAUAUCUGAUUUUUCUCAAGUCACGGACUUGCCUACAUCGACAACUUCUCAAGAGGAUGGAAGUCCUGUGUCCACUUCAAGUCCAGCUGAAUCCAUUACCUCCUCCUCUGGUGAUGAAGAAAGGACCACGUAUUCUACUCCUGAAGCCACUGUGUCCACAAUAGUCUCAGCACCAUCAACAGAUACAGUCUCCUCUUACACCUCAACAUUUUAUAUACCUUCAAACUCUGAGGGACUUUCUACCACUACCUCCAGGACUGGACUCAGUACAACAACAAUUACUGAGAUAUCCUCUGUCCUUUCAACCAUUUCUGAAUCUUCUAUGUCAGCUUCCUAUCCCAGCCAUAGUAGUAGCCUAGCUUCCUCUUCAAUUCCCAGCCUGCUGUCUACCACCCCCUCUGUCUCCACACAGACAAUCACAGGCCUCACAGAGGGACUCACUCUUGCUACUUCCACCCCUGAUUCAUCAAAACCUACAGGCACCUUGAGCAGCACUGUUACUGCAGAGAAUGAAAUUUCUGCUUCAACAUCAAGGCCUGGAGAAUCCUUAACCACUUCCACUGGUGAUGGACACAUGACCACAUCUUCUUCUCUGGGAUCCACUCUCUACACCAGCUCCUCAGAUGGGUCCUUGCCAUCAUUCUCUACCCAUUCUUUGCACAGUACAAAUGGUGCAAGUCCUUCCUCAUCAAGCCCCAGUGAGACCUCCACCCACACUGUGGUCUCACCACACACCACCACGACUGCCAAAGAGGAGUCGACUUCUGGUUUUUCUUCUCCUGUGGCCUCCACUUCACCUGGCUCCACUGGAACUCCAGUCCCUGGAUACCGUACCACUUCAACCCUGCAACCCCCGUUCACUAGGACACAGACAACUGUAAGGACAACCCACUCUUCAACUACGACACCAUUGCAGUGCUACAAUAACGCCACUUGGAAUGGAAAAGAAUGUGUCUGUGCCCAAGGCUACUUUGGUUACCAGUGUAAAGACGUCAGGGAAUACUUUUUCAUAGAGACCCCCCAAAAAAUCAAUGCCACUAUAGACCUGAGAGUGAAAGUGACUAACAGGAAUUUCACAGAUGACCUAAAUGACAAAUCCUCUGAUUCAUACAAGAACUUCGUUCAAGUAUUCAAGAGUCAGAUGGAUAAAGUUUACAGGGGCAACAACUUUCCCCAAUACAGAGGCGUGAAUGUCAUAAGACUGCUUCCUGGCAGCAUCGUGGUGGAACAUGAAGUCAUCAUGGAGGCCAACUAUACUUCGGGGUACCUGGAGCUGUUUGAAAACCUCACUAAGAUUGUAAAGGCCAAGAUUAUGAAUGAGACCACACAGCUACACGGGAAUUCUAAAGACUGCAAAAACCUCUCACUUCUGUGCUACGAUGAGACGGCCACCAUCGUGAACCCCGUGAAGGUCGGCUUUGACCCGCAAGAGCAAUGCACCAAGAAUUCUGCGAAGGAAUUCGCCCAGUUCUACUACAUAGAGGAGCUGGAUGGGAAGCUGGCUUGUGUGACCAAGUGCACUCCAGGGACGAAGUCUGAAAUGGACUGUCACCACGGCACGUGCCAGCUGCAGCAAAGCGGCCCCCGUUGUCUAUGCCUGAACUCAGACACACACUGGUACUCGGGGGAGACCUGUGAAUCCAGCACCAGCAAGAGCAUGGUAUAUGGGAUUGUGGGGGCCGUGGGGGCGCUCCUGGUGGUCUUGGUGGUGGUCCUGAUCCUCCUACUCGGCCGAUCCCAGAGAAAACUGCACAGCAGGCAAGAGCACGACAUGUCUCGAGAGUGGCAAGAUGCAGGCUACCCUGGCAGUUUUGAGAACACAAGCGUCUGGGAAGGUGAGGAUCUGAAGGGGGACACAUUUGGCCUUGAAAACAUCUACAGAAACUUCCAGCCCUCCUUGGGGAGUGUGGACCCCACUACAGAGCUCCACAUUCAGAAGCCCACAGUGGUGACCACUGCUCCGUGACGGGGACAGGGACUGCCACCCCUCACUCAGAUAUGGGUGAUGAGGCUGCGGCCAGCAGAGCCCUCCACGGCCCCAGGCUGCCAAGAGGAACCUGAAGUCUGAAGUCGUCAGGCCCGAGGAUGACCCUCUCAGGGCGAGCGGGCUUGCCCCGUCGUCACUGCUGUGCUCCCUCGCCCUCCAGCCAGGAGCCCGGAGGCAUCUCGUUUACUCCACUGGUGUUUACUCCACUGGUUUACUCCACUGGUGUUUACUCCAAUGGUUUACUCCACUGGUGUUUACUCCACUGGUUUACUCCACUGGUUUACUCCACUUGUGUUUACUCCACCUGUGUUUACUCCACUUGUGUUUACUCCAAUGGUUUACUCCACUUGUGACACCCAUGCGGGAAUUUCCUGCCAAUAAAGGACAAGUCUUAUAGAGCUGAGCGUGGCCAGAGCAGUCUCCUCCCCUCCCCUGCAGGGGGCCUGCAAGUCUGGGAAGGUCUUUCUCCGAAGAGCACUGCAGGGUUGGACACCACAUCUGGGCCCCUUCCCAUGCCCACGUGUGGAGCCUGGGGCCCCUCAUCUGCUCCAAGCCCGGGCCAGAUCAGACCCACCUCUGCCUGAGGGUUCUGUGGCA
rnacentral:lncRNA from 1 species